UAAGUAAAAUUUUUUUUAAUUUAAUAUAAUUUUUAAAUGAAAGUAAAUAAAAGUAAUUGCUCGAAAAGAAGGGCCAUGAAACUGAUUAAUUAACUAAGGUAAUGCUUGACAAUGGUGUUUACCAUGUCAAGCAAAAGCCGAAUAGUAAAUGGUUAUCUCAUGCCACUUCAUUGUCAAGGUAAUAAAAAAAUUGCACCUCUCUAUAAGAGCAAGUAGGGGCAUUAUGGGAAAUUCACUCCAUCCAAUAAAUAAAAGUCCCAUCCCACCGUCUCCCCUUCAAGUGAGUACCCAAGCAGCAACUGCAACAUCACAGCACAGCAACCAUUCAACUCCCUCUAGCUCCUUUUCUCUCUCUACCACCCAAGAGGGGAGAAGAAACCGAGAGGAGAAAAUUAAAAGAAUCUCCACCCUCCAAGAAGUCCAUCUCCGAUCCCCCUAUCUUUC
rnacentral:lncRNA from 1 species